rnacentral:RNase_P_RNA from 1 species
CCAGAGGGCCGGGCGGCCGCGUCGCAUCUUUUGGAUGUGCCGAGGAAAGUCCGGGCUCCACGGAAACGACGGUGCCGGGUAAUGCCCGGCGGGGGUGACCCCAGGGAAAGUGCCACAGAGAGCAAACGGCCACGGCUUCGGCCCGGCCACGGUGAAAGGGUGCGGUAAGAGCGCACCGCGCGGCUGGUAACAGCAGCGGCAUGGCAAACCCCACCGGGAGCAAGACCGAAUAGGGACGGCACAUGCGCCUCGUUCCGGCGCGUCGUCCGGGUUGGUUGCUUGAGGGCGCGUGCAAACGUGCCCCUAGAGGAAUGGUCGCCUAUCCCCAUCGGGGUGGACAGAACCCGGCUUACAGGCCCUCUGGCAUU